rnacentral:rRNA from 1 species
CGGACUGCAGUCUGCAACUCGACUGCACGAAGUCGGAAUUGCUAGUAAUCGCGGAUCAGCAUGCCGCGGUGAAUACGUUCCCGGGCCUUGUACACACCGCCCGUCACACCAUGAGAGUCGGGAACACCCGAAGUCGGUAGUCUAACCUCGUGAGGACGCCGCCGAAGGUGGGCUUGAUAAUUGGGGUGAAGUCGUAACAAGGUAGC